rnacentral:rRNA from 1 species
UACGUAGGUGACAAGCGUUGUCCGGAUUUACUGGGCGUAAAGAGCGCGCAGGCGGUCGAUCAAGUCGCGUGUGAAAGCCCCCGGCUCAACUGGGGAGGGUCACGCGAUACUGAUCGACUCGAAGGCAGGAGAGGGUAGUGGAAUUCCCGGUGUAGCGGUGAAAUGCGUAGAUAUCAAGAGGAACACCUGAGGCGAAGGCGGGUUGCUAGGCUGACACUGACGCUGAAGCGCGAAAGCUAGGGUAGCAAACGGG